CCUACGGGUGGCAGCAGUGAGGAAUAUUGGUCAAUGGACGAGAGUCUGAACCAGCCAAGUAGCGUGAAGGAUGACUGCCCUCUGGGUUGUAAACUUCUUUUAUAUGGGAAUAAAAUGUUCCACGUGUGGGAUUUUGUAUGUAUCAUAUGAAUAAGGAUCGGCUAACUCCGUGCCAGCAGACGCGGUAAUACGGAGGAUCCGAGCGUUAUCCGGAUUUAUUGGGUUUAAAGGGAGCGUAGGUGGAUUGUUAAGUCAGUUGUGAAAGUUUGCGGCUCAACCGUAGAAUUGCAGUUGAAACUGGAAGUCUUGAGUACAGUAGAGGAGGGCGGAAUUCGUGGUGUAGCGGUGAAAUGCUUAGAUAGCACGAAGAACUCCGAUUGCGAAGGCAGGUGUCUGGACUGCAACUGACACUGAGGCUCGAAAGUGUGGGUAUCAAACAGGAUUAGAUACCCUUGUAGUC
rnacentral:rRNA from 1 species